UGCCUGGUUAUAUUGAACCGGCUUUUCAAUAAACCCGCGAUACAUGGACGGUCAAUAUUUACAUCAAGCAUGAGUUUUGCUUGACAAUUGACCUCCAUGGAAAAGGUACCGCGGACAUGAACUGACUAAUUUACUAUAGGAUAGUGUGAGAGUUUUAUUCGACUACGGUAAAUUAGCAUCUAAUCCCAGAAAGAGUGCAAUUUAUGCUGUAAAUCUCUAAAAAAUUAGACACUUUGAAAUGGCUAGUGCUUUAGAUUCCCGAAGAACAUCAGCGGUCGCCGAGUCGAUGGCCAGCCGUCCGUACUCCGAUGCAACGUGGAUGACUCAAGGUGGAGCAAACCCAAUGGGGAAAGGGCAGAUUUUAUUCACAGGUCCAAGCGGGAUCAGGGAUUACAAAGUGAAAGUGGUGACCGAUGACAGAAUGGUAGGGAUCGGGACGAUGUCUCCAGAAGGUACUAGUGCCCUUCAGUAUAUCUGGAGAGGUGCCCCUGGUGCUGCCCCGCCCAGGAGAAGGUCACAGUGGGUGGGGGAGGUGGGUUGGUUCAUCCCGCCUUUCCAUGAUUACAAGAAUACAUUAUCUGGAAAUCAAAUACAGCUCAAAGUAUUCAGAAAGGCACAAGAAGAAAAAUACACUCACAGAUUCCAAGAGCCAUGCACACUUUACAAGGAUUAUGAAAGUACCUCCACCCUAAACACUCAGACUACAAAGAAUCGUUGCCUUUCACACAAGGAUCGAAACAAAACUGGGGACCCCCCAGCAACUGGCGACCCCCUGGCCAACAACGGAGCACGGAACAGCUCCCUCCCCGCCCUCACACCGUCGCCGGCUUCCAUUCUGACGACACACUCCCCAACGUUAGCAACAAUGCAGCAAGCUCGCGACCCGUCACAGCGCAACCCACCUCAUCGGAAAACAUCAGUCGUCCUGCCAGCGGUAACAGCUACUCAUCAGCACAGUCAGCUCACUUCAGAUCGGCGUCCGUCGCAAGCCCGCACCACUCCCCGCCCGGGAGCCGACCAGGGAGUGGGGGCGGCCAUGGGCAAUACAACCGUGAAUCGUCAGCGUACAGCAGCCAUUCGAGGGGGUCCCAGUCGUCGUUAAGAAGCAGGGCUAGUUCACAUACGUCACAUCAAUCAAGACGAAGAAUUACCCCUGCUGCCACCAGUGUCAGUUCAGCGUACAGAGCGCCAACGUCCGAUCCAGAGUACUAGCCUACAUGUAUAGUGGGCAUCCUAUCCUGUACCUAUUCCUCUCCACUCGUGGCAAUAUUAACAUUAUUUAAAGGACAAAUAUGUGGAGAUAAGACGAACAUAAUAUUACCUGUCUUCCUCUUCCUAGCACCAAUUGAUGUUUCUUAUUUGAGAUUUGUUUGCACGUCAUGUACGCAACUUCUCCAUUCCUAUGCAAUUUCUGAUGUCUUUCAUUAUAGAUCUCUGUAUUUUUAGAUAUUUUUUUUUCUUUACUCGUCAUGUAUACUAGAAUUUUCUGAGACUUCUGAUGUUUUAAUCAUAUUCUCAAUGAAUUUGAUAAAGUUAUUAUAAUUGCAUAAUACUUAAACUAUUUACUGGAUCACUAUGUAAUUCAUCUGAAAGGAAAAUUCAUAUAUAAUUUCAAAUAAGGUGUAGUUUACUUUGUCAAUUGUAGGAAAGUAGAUGUAUGCCCUGUUAAUUUCAGUUAACGACUCCAUGUGAUUAUUUAUUAUUAUCAAAGCUGCCUAAGUUUGUAAUGUAUGAUAUUAAAAUUGUAAAUAAAAAACUUUUGAAAACUGAUAUAACCAGUUGUUCAAUGCACAUACAGUAGAUU